GAUGAACGCUAGCGGCAGGCUUAACACAUGCAAGUCGAGGGGCAGCACGGUAGCAAUACUGGUGGCGACCGGCAAACGGGUGCGGAACACGUACAGAACCUACCUUGAUCUGGGGCAUAGCCCGGAGAAAUCCGGAUUAACUCCCCAUAACAUAGAUGAGUGGCAUCACUUGACUAUUAAAAAUUUAUUGGAUCGAGAUGGCUGUGCGUCCCAUUAGCUAGUUGGUAGGGUAACGGCCUACCAAGGCGACGAUGGGUAGCUGGUGUGAGAGCACGACCAGCCACACGGGCACUGAGACACGGGGCCCGACUCCUACGGGAGGCAGCAGUGAGGAAUAUUGGUCAAUGGACGCAAGUCUGAACCAGCCAUGCCGCGUGAAGGAUGAAGGCCUUCUGGGUUGUAAACUUCUUUUACCUGGGAAGAAACCUCCGAUUUCUAUUGGAGUUGACGGUACCAGAGGAAUAAGCACCGGCUAACUCCGUGCCAGCAGCCGCGGUAAU
rnacentral:rRNA from 1 species